GCCCAAAUACGCGACACCUGGAGCAAUAGCAGCCGCCCCGCGGCCUGGGCCUCAUUACGGGCCGGCCCUUAUCGCGGCGUGCAUCACAUUAUUUCAUUUCAAAGAAUGCGCAGAGAAACCCGUCCCGGCCGACAACAGAAAGUAAAAACACAGCUGACUCCCAUUAGGGCCCUCUCACGGGCUCCGCGUGAGGUCAGUGCUCACCAUUUUGCAGAUGAGGAAGCUGGACCACAGAGAAGUGAACCGACUUGUCCAAGGUCAACAGCUAGUGAGUGGCAGCUGAGGAAACUGAGCCCCAGAGGAGAAAGGCUGGCCGCUCCAUCUCAGCAAGUUUCUCCAGCAAGUUGGUACAGAGCUGCGGUGAGAAGCUAGGUCUGAGUACCAAGCCCGUGUGGUGCCACUCCUCCCGACCUCCCACCACUACAGAAGAGCAUUUUCAGAAAGCCAAAAGAAGAACUAAGGCCACCUAAAUGACAAAGCUCAGGCACUGAUGUAUGAAUGAGAAGCAAUGUUCUUUUCUUACAUCUGGCGUUCUAACAUCCCUAAAAUCUACCCAUGCCCCGGCUGAUUUUGCGUAUUUGCCCCAAAACACCUUGUUGACUCAGCGAAGGUGAACCGAGCUCCUACUCUGGUGGGGUGCUGGGGCAGCAAACGUGAACCGCUCAUGCUCCCUGCCCUGGAGGAGCUCACAACCUAGCAGGGAAAACGGAUGCCUGAACCCGUAAUAGGAGGGAAUAUACAGCUUGCUGGAGAUGCCUGUCACACACAGAGAAUCAGGCAGAUCUGCCCAGAAGGUCUCAGCAAACACGAUGUUGGCACAGAGUCUCGCAGGGGGAAUACAAGGAGUUAUCUUGGAGGAGAAAGCACUGAAAAACCCACUUAUAAAGAGUAUGGAGCCCUGAAUAUACACAGCUCCUUCAAGGGACUACUAAUACUUUGUAGGGCCCACUGAGCAGGACAAGUGUUAGCUAGAGCUGAGUAAUGGAAGAGCCCCAGAGAUUUUGUUAAGUUAAAUUAUUUAAAUCAAUGGAAGGCAGAGUACGCAGUAAUUUCUUGGUAAUUAUUUCUCUUUUAAAUCUUGCUCCCAAUAGAAUUUCCCCCAAGUUAUUCAUACUGUCUUAGAACAGAAAGUUCCAAACCUCUGUUUCUAUCAUACAGGUGACAUUAUCCUCAUUUUAUAGAUGACGCCCUGAAAAGACAUUUACCUCAGACAAAAAAAAAAAAAAGUGACUUUCAUUUCAGGUACCGUACUAAGUACUUUACAUACAUUUCUCUCAUUUGGCCCUCAAAAAUAUCCUGUGAGAUAUUUUCCUAAAACUUUCUAACUUCUUUCACAUUUCGUGUCUUUGGACAUGAUCAUCUUCUGCCCUACAAGUAUUCCUUAUUCUUUGCCUACUGUACUCUUUAGUCUUCAGACUAAGUAAGAGGCUUCAGAUAAGAAAGCCAACAAUAUAGUGGCUCAAAUAGGACAGCAGUUUCUGUCUCUCUCCUGUAAUGGUUUGGACACAGGCAUGUCGUCCAAGGUGAAUGGGAUAGCUGUGCUCCCCAAGAUCGUCCGGGGACCCAGGUUCCUUCUUUUUUUCUUUUUUUUAAUUUUCUUUGGUGACUUUUACUUCACAGAAAUCUUAUUUCUUAAUUGAGUAGUUUUUUUAAUUUAAAUUCAAUUCAUCAACACGGUGUAUUACUAAAUUCAGAGGUAGAGUUCAGUGAUUCAUCAGUUGCACACAUCUUGAGUUAUAAGUGACAUAUAACAUUCUAUUAGUUUCAGGUGUGCAACAUAAUGAUUCAAUAUUUAUAUAUAUUGCAAAACGAUCGCUACAAUAAAUCUAGUUAACAUCUGUCACCAUCCAUAGUUAUGACUUUUUUUCUUGUGAUGAGAACUUUUAAGAUCUACCCUCUUAGCAACUUUCAAAUAUGCAAUACAGUAUGAACUAUAGCCACCAUGCUAUCCCUUAUAUCUCUCUGAUUUAUUUAUUUUAUAAUUGGAAGUUUGUACCUUCUGACCUUAGAGGAAAAGCUUUCAGCUUUUCACCACCAAAUAUGAUGUUAGCUAUGAGCUUCUCAUAUAUGGCCUUUAUCAUCUUGAGUUAUGUUUCCUCUAUACCCCCUUUUGUUAAAAUUUUUUAUCAUAAAUAGAUGUUGAAUUUUGUCAAAUACUUUUUCUGCAUCUACUCAGAUGGUGAUAUGAUUUUUAUCAUUCAUUUUGUUAAUGUGGUAUAUCACAUUGAUUUGUGGAUGUUGAACCAUCCUUGCAUCCCUAGAAUAAAUCCUCCUGAGCAUGGUAUAUGAUCUUUUUAAUGUCCUGAAUUUGGUUUGCAAAUAAAUGUUGUUGAGGAUUUUUGCACCUAUGUUCAUCAGGGAUAUUGGCCUCUAAUUUUCUUUUCUUGGGGGCAUCCUUCUGGUUUUGAUAUCUGGGUAAUACUGGCCUUGUAAAAUAAGUUUGGAAGCAUUUCCUCCUUUGUAUUUUUUGGAAGAGUUUGAAAAUGAUUAGUAUUAAUUCUUCUUUGAAUGUUUGGUAGAACUGACCAUUGAAGCCAUCUGGUCCUGGAGUUUGGUUUAUUGGGAGGUUUUGGUUACAGAUUCAUUCUUACUAGUAAUCAGUCUGUUCAGAUUUUCUCUCUCUUCACGAUUCAGUCUUGGUAGGUUGUAUGUUUCUAGGAAUUUAUCAGUUUCCUCUAGGUUGUCAAAUUUGUUGGUGUAUAAUUGUUCAUAGUAGUCUCUUAUGAUCCUUUGUGUUUCUGUGGUACCAGUUAUAACAUCUUUCAUUUCUGAUUAUACUUACUUUCAUUCACUCUCUUUUUUCUUGGUGAGUUUCUCUCUGUAUUUUGUUGCUCUGCCAUCCCUCAUGACCAAACGAGUUCACCCACACUAUAUCCACAUUCCAACCACAGGAAGCUGCGGCAAGCAAUUUCUCUUCCACUCACAUUACGAAGUAGAAACCCAGUCCCAUUGCUUCAUUGGCUGCAAGGAAACAUGGAAAUUAUCAUCUCUAGCUAGGUGGCCAUGUGUCCUGCUAAAUCUGGGAAGGCUGUUCCUGUUAUUAAAAGGAAGAAGAGAAGUGGGGCACCAGGGUGGCUCAAUCAGUUAAGCAUCCAACUCUUGAUUUUGGCUCAGGUCAUGAUCUCAGGGUCCUGAGAUCAAGCCCCAUGUUGGGCUCCACACUGCCCCUCCCACCCAUUCGUGCACAAGAAUGCUCGCUCUCUCUCUCAGAAAACAAAAAAAAGAGAGAAGAACCAAACUAGAAAAACAAGCAACAACUCUGCCAUCACUACUUGUCCUUUAUUAUCCAGCUUGCAUGUUGCCUCCUCUGCAAAGCCUGCCUGGAUCCCUCACAAAGAAGAGUUCAUUGUCCCCUCCUGUGUGCUUCUCUAGCCCUUGUGCUUUGCUGCUUUAUACUUCUCAGUUUACCGGCCUGUCUCCCCUCUUCUGUGGAUAAUAAGCACCGUAAAUAAGGAGCACUUGCUAUGUCCUAGGCACAGUGCUAAGCACGUUUUACGCAUUAACUCAUUUAAUUUUCUCACAACCCUGGGGAUUUCCUCCUCUGUAAAAUGGGCAUAAAAAUGAUACUGAUCUUAUAGGGUUGCCAUGAGGAUUAAAACAACUGGUAUUGAGAUGGGUACAUGCUCAAUAAAUAGUAGCUAUUGCUACUGGGGAAGUAUGGGUUGAUAAAUGUACCAGUGUAAGGGGUUGGUCCAGUAUAAACCGUGCUCUCUGCCCUCCACAGCUCAUAGCAGAGCUGUGAACGUUGACCUCACGCCAGAGUGAGUAGGCACUGGACGUACAUAGCCAAACUACAGUAGGUGAGGUGGGAAGUGUUCUACAAAUAGAAAAUGCCUAAGUACUAGAAGACACUUUAUCGCCCUCUCCUCAGAUGAGAAAGCUAACUUACCCAAGAGCUCACAACUAGUUAAGUGCCAGAAUCAUGGCUCAAAGCAGACUUAUUUUAGUGGGUGAGGAGAGCAGUAAUUGAUUGGCUAGAUACAGUGUGUCAGUCUCUGACACUUAAUAGAUCACAAGGAGAAAGCUCAGACUCUUGGGCCAUUGGAGACACUACCACCGCCUAGUGGCAGCAACAAGCAUUGCAGGCAUAGCACUUCAUGCGUUCACAUGUGGCAAAAGUAUCCCAAGUAUCAAUUUUGAAUUGUUUUAAUAUAUUAGGUAGAAUCAAGGCCUGUUCAAAACAUUUGGUUUUCUCUCUCUUAUCAGUAAGCUACACCAGGCCAUUUCCAUUGUUCUUGGUCACUAGCAUUUCCUAGAUUUGUUCUUUACGGUUUAGAAUUUCUGAGUUCAGAAUGUAUUUUACAAGAAUGGGCAAGCCUCCAAGAAGAGGAACAAGUUGUCAAGAGUUGUCACAUUUAAGCAAUGAGACUUCAGGUGUGUGUUUUACAAUAAUAGCACAGACUCGGUUGUUAACUUAAAUUUGGAUCCCUAAUUACUGCUGUAAAUGUCUUCAAAAAGAUUUCAUUGUGAUGCACGAAAAAAGUUAGCAUUUGUGGAGGAGAUGACCUGCCACACACCAGUCAGGGCUGUCACUGGCAGUAAAAAUUGCCCAGUCUUCCUGAAGAGGUCAGAGAAUUUUCCGCGUGGUGUGAGGUGGGUCUUUGUGACAAAUUGAUCCAUCAAGUCCUAUAACUUAGACAUUAAGCACCUAUCUGUCGAAAGUAUUUCGCUAACUUUCAAGAAAAGCUGUUUAACCUCCAGCAAUAUGCAAUGCAGUUAAUGGAGAAACGAAGGGAACUCUGUGUUUAUCCAAAGCAGAAAUGCACAUGAAACACUAAUAUGCUUCCAUAUGUCUUGAGAUCAUACUUUAAUCUUAAAAAAAAUAAAUUUCAUAUGCAUGGGAUGCAAAAAAAAAAAAAAAAGGCACUCUGAUGUUCUGCAUAAUUGCUGAUGACCUGCCGAGCUUCUACAGGAUAUAGAUGUCCCAGUAUACCCACAGACAUGGACUGUGACCCUGAAGACAAAGUGAGUGAUUGCAGGAACAACUGUACGUUAUCGGGUAUUUUUCUCAAUUACGUACCUGUAAUGUGGCAACUCUCCCCCAACCUGAAGUAUAAUUAGGUCAAUGAGGCAUCUUACCUGCGGUAGCUUCUUACUACCAGGAAACUCCAGUUUUCUCUUGACACCUAAGCUGCCCGUUAGAGAUGAGGUGUUAAAUGUGUCGUUAACACCUGUUCUGACACUCCACUCUUCCAACCUUAAGUUCUCCUACUGUGGCAUAAGAAUUAUAACACUAUCAGCAGUAUUCAUGGAUAUUUUUACAGCACAUUAGAGUUUCCAAAGUAGUCACACGUACUUUCUCAUGCCAUCCAUAAGAUGGUCCUUUUUUAUUGAUGAGGAAAUAGGGCUCAGAGAGAUGAACUGACCUAGCCAAGGUCACACAGCCUCACUAAAACCCUCCUCCUCUCCUCCUCCUUCCCUCUCCUUUUCCCUCUCUCUGUCUCUCUCACCUCUCUCCCUCCCUCCCUGCUCUCUCACUCCUCUUCUAGUUUCUUAGUGCCUGAAGGUGAAUGAUUUUUUUUUUCCUAAUGGCCAGCAUCUCUCUCUUCUCUGAGGACAGACACAGGCAAGGAAGGCAGGAAUGGAGGAACUAGGGGCAGCAAUGAGAAGGCACCUUGGCCUUUGUCGCCCCCUAGAGUCUGUUCGUUUUGCCCAAACCUCCUGCCCCACAGAUGGAUCCCCUUCAGUGCCAACCAGCAGUCCCAGAACAGGGAUUCCUGGGGAGGAUCCAGCCAGGGACCAGUCUCCACAUAUUCUGCCUGUGUGUCUCUGAAAAGAACAAGUUAAAUAGAAAGUUCUGGGCACCUUGAUAGGAAAAGUAAAACUAAUAACAAACUUGGAAUUCCUUGACCUGAGUUGGAGUCCUGGCUCUGCCAGUGACCACCUUUAUGACUUCAGGCCACCUGAUCUCUCGGAACCUCCAUUCCUCACCCGUGAGGUGGAUUUCCUUGCAAGGGCUGCUGUUAGGGAUGAACCAGAGCCAUGAUGGGGAAACCACCUACCACAUAACAGGUGCUCAGUAACUUGUUGAUUUAGACUCAGAGGCUAAGAGUGAGGAUGUGGAGAGGGAAGGGGCAUCAGGGCAGUGGGAGCUUGUACAUGAGCCUCGAAUUCUGUAAUGGCAAAAAGUGGCCUCAGAUUCUUCCCCAGUGGUCAAGGGGUGGAGCCUGUUUCCUCACCCCUCGAGUCCGGGCUGGCUCUGUAAGGUAUUUUGGCCAGUGGGUUGUUAGCAAAUGUGAUGCAAGCAGAGCAUCAC